rnacentral:rRNA from 1 species
ACGGAAGGCAGCAGUGGGGAAUAUUGCACAAUGGGGGAAACCCUGAUGCAGCGACGCCGCGUGAGUGAAGAAGUAUUUCGGUAUGUAAAGCUCUAUCAGCAGGAAAGAAAAUGACGGUACCUGACUAAGAAGCCCCGGCUAACUACGUGCCAGCAGCCGCGGUAAUACGUAGGGGGCAAGCGUUAUCCGGAUUUACUGGGUGUAAAGGGAGCGUAGACGGCUUUGCAAGUCUGAAGUGAAAGCCCGGGGCUCAACCCCGGAACUGCUUUGGAAACUGUUAAGCUAGAGUGCAGGAGAGGUAAGUGGAAUUCCUAGUGUAGCGGUGAAAUGCGUAGAUAUUAGGAGGAACACCAGUGGCGAAGGCGGCUUACUGGACUGUAACUGACGUUGAGGCUCGAAGGCGUGGGGAGCAAACAAGAUUAGAUACCCUGGUA